UAUGUUCACAUUCCUCUGAUGAGGCUGGUUAUGACUCAAGAGGCGAAGCUGCAGACAGGUGAGGGCGUUAAAGUGAGAGAAUGAAGUCAGACUGCCAGAUGCCAUUUUACACUUCGACAGAGAGGAGGAGGACAACAGGUGUUACUGUCUGAUCUCUCAGACUGGAGAAGAUGAGUGGUUUGAAAGGUGAGGAAGAGGACAUAUCUUCAGUCUCCAGCUGUCUGUCUCUGAAGAGUGACCAGUCUAAAGGCUGUCCUCCAUACUUCAGUAAUGAACCCGGACCCUCGGACACAGGACAGAGAGCAGAGUCUCCAUUCUCCAGCUGUCUGUCUCUGAAGAGUGACCGGUCUAAAGUGUUAUCUAUAAAC